CGAACGGGUGAGUAACGCGUGAGGAACCUGCCUCAAAGAGGGGGACAACAGUUGGAAACGACUGCUAAUACCGCAUAAGCCCACGGCUCGGCAUCGAGCAGAGGGAAAAGGGGUGAUCCGCUUUGAGAUGGCCUCGCGUCCGAUUAGCUAGUUGGUGAGGUAACGGCCCACCAAGGCGACGAUCGGUAGCCGGACUGAGAGGUUGAACGGCCACAUUGGGACUGAGACACGGCCCAG
rnacentral:rRNA from 1 species